UUAAAGUGGUACGCGAGCUGGGUUCAGAACGUCGUGAGACAGUUCGGUCCCUAGCCGUCGCAGGCGUAGGAAAUUUGAGAAGACCUGUCCGUAGUACGAGAGGACCGGGAUGGACGUACCUCUGGUGUACCAGUUGUUCUGCCAAGGGCAUGGCUGGGUAGCUAUGUACGGAAUGGAUAAGCGCUGAAAGCAUCUAAGCGCGAAGCCAACUUCAAGAU
rnacentral:rRNA from 1 species